ACAGCAGGGCUGCAGGAAGGCAGCUGUCCUGCCUGCUCCCCACACAGAAGGGUCUUAAUUUUCAGUGGACUCACGAGAGGAGCUGCAAACUUGACAGGAAGCUCGGCACAGCAACUGCCCCGAUGCUGCUGCUGUAGGCACAGCUGUGCGGGCCAGGGCAGAAAGCCAGCCUCCGGCCUGUUCUCUGACCUCCAUCCCCCCAACAGCGCCCAUCAUCGAGGGCUCCGAGUCACGCCCGGGCGGGGAGUGGGGGUGGCCGGGAGCCCGACCUUGCGUUUUUCUGUACCCCAAGUUUACGAAACGAGUUUGCCAUGCAGCAGCAGCAGGACAAUAAGAGCGCAGAGCUGCCCGUCUGGGUUGUCGCUGUGGCGAGGCGGAGGGGACACGGCUCCCCGAAGCCGCCGGCCUGCGUUUGGUCAGCAGGCGGCAGCAUUGCCCGUCAGGUGGAGGCUGGCUCCCACUGCUGGGCUGCAGAGCUCUGGUCACCCCCACCUUCCCGCCACCCCCCUGGAAGUUUCCCCGGUAGAAGGCUUGACAAAGAAGAAUCUCAUUUCCCAGAAAAGAUGACACAGAAUUUUGAAGACCGAUGAAGCUGGUCCUAGCAGCGUUUUUGGAGCAAGAUGAAGCUAUCGUCAUGAAAUCUGAAGGAAUUCUAUGAAACUGAAAAUGCCAAGUGCCCCGAGAAAGCAGCAAGGUUGGCUGCGUCCCCUAAGUUUCCCUGUGGAGAACAGACAUCGGGUAACGGCAGCAGAAAGUACACGCGCAGACAGCACGCCACACCUGAGCUGACGCGCCAGAUUCCAUAACACGCCAUGGUUCGCGGCAGGCUGCGGGUAGGAGGGCCUCAGCGUCCUCAGCCUCUGAGAACAAAGCGUGGGCUUGAAGGGCACGGGCACAGAUGUGCAGUGGAAGGGUGGACGGUGGCCACGCCCAGUGGUACGUCAGCCAUGCUGCAUCAGCUGAUGAGUCCUGGCCUAUUGGCUUGGUGACACAAGGGUCAUUUUUGGAUAGAUGAUUAAAAAAGAAAAAGAGAAAGGGCAAGUUUCCAAAAUGCAGGGCCUCGCCGGAAGCGGGUCACCUGUCCUGGCACCACUGACCUGGACAUCUCCCUGGGCCGCUCUGUGGAAGCCACAGCGGGAAUCCGCCACUGCAGUGACCACAGCCAGCAAGCAGAGACCAGGGAGAACGACCCAGUGAAGGAAAGUGGCGAGCGAAGAACACACAAAGUCCUGGAGAGGACGCGGCAGCCGAGCGGCCAGCGGGUGGAAAUGCGCCACGGGAAAUGAAGGAGGGGGCUCGAAAGUGAGAACUCGGAAAAGGCAGUUCCUAAGGGGCCUCAGGGUGACGAAGGUGAUCUUUGAUUUGCAGCUUGGCGAACAGCUUUCCUGGACUAACUUUCAGUUUCGAGAAGGGCCUUCAUCGGCGUCGCCUGCACCGAGUGUCCACUGAAGGGGCGUCGAUGGAGCUGAGCUCUCACCCUGCCUUUGCAGCACAGAGGGGCGGCUCAUCCUCUCAUCCUGGCUGGGCAGUGAGGGAUGCAAACACCCAGCAACGGGGGAUGAUUACCGAUUCCUAACGCAUUCGGGAACGACCGAGGAUUAGACUGCUCAGCUCCGAGAGUUGACAGUCAGCAGACAUUUCAAAUAAGACACCAGGCUGAGUAGUGCUCUGCAGGUCCUUUCCUUAAGUGCCUAAAAUACCUUUGGUCAAAAACAGACUAAUCAAAACAGCAAAACGAAAUCCCCGAAACACGGAUUAACCACCACCACUUUUCAGCAUGGUGCGCUGCAUGUAUGCGGCGAGUCCAGUGCCUUGUGGUUCCAUUUUGCCCAUCUGACUUUAUCAUUAUUAUUAUUAUUAUUAUUUAAUCUUACUGGAUCAUUGGGACAGUUGUACACAUUUUUGCAUGGAAAUACA